AACAACUAAGGGCAAACUCACCGAAAGGUGAGGGCGCAAAGCCUCGGGCCUAAGGGCGAGGAGUCUAUGGCGGCCGGGUUGCCUUA
rnacentral:ncRNA from 1 species